UUAAAAAAGGUAUGCUUCCUUGGUAAAACGCCGCGAGACUACGCCGAGUCUGAAAGGAAAUCACCGUGCUCGCGAGACUUCCCCACAUUUGCAUUCACGUAUGAUUUGCGUUCAGACUUCAGCGCAUUUACGACGAGCGGGGUUGGUGCUGCGUAAUUUAUAGUACGUAACUCGCGUAAAUGCGCUCAGACUGGGGGAAUGUCGGCUCGUGAAUGAUCAGCUAUUGAGGCGGCAGGGAGCGUCAACGCUAUGGCUGUAAGUAUUCCAAGUCAUUGUUAUUGGGCUCCUUUGCAUUAUGAUUGGAGCAUGUGCAAAUAUGGACACCCACAACACUCAAUUGAAAUGUGUGUACUGCAUAUGAUCAAAAAUAAGGUCAGUGAAUGUGAACUGGGGCUGAGCAAUAUUACAUUGAAACAAAAUUUUG